GGGCUCACUUUGGCAGCACAUAGACUAAAAUUGGAACAAUACGGAGAUUAGCAUGGCCCCUGUGCAAGGUUGACAUGCAAAUUCAUGAAGCGUUCCAUAUUUUU